rnacentral:lncRNA from 1 species
GUUUGACCAUGCAAAUGUUGUGAAUAUUUGAUGUGGCCCAGAAAUCUAUAUGCGCUAAAUCCGAAUUAAUACCAUGGUACUAUGCGUGCACUGUCCAUUUUGUCCAUUUGAUGUAUGAGCAUAAAAUCUCUCAAACAUAUGAUCUUUUAGGCAAUGAAGGGGGCAUUCUUUGGCCCUUUUUCAAUGCUUUCAGGUUUUCUUCUUCUUCAUUAUUAUUAUUAUACCUCAUGCUGCUGGCUGGCAAUGAAGGGGUUCCCUUUUUUUGCUUCCUUGAUUUCCCCGUAGGACCUGCUCCGAUCCACUGGGAUUGCAGGUC